rnacentral:rRNA from 1 species
GUACACGCUGUGACUAGCAUAUCAAUAAGCGGAGGAAAAGAAACUAACAAGGAUUCCCCUAGUAACGGCGAGUGAAGCGGGAAGAGCUCAAAUUUGAAAUCUUAAAGGGUUUCCCUUUACGAAUUGUAGUUUAAAGAAGUGUUUUCUGUUGAGGUUUUGGUAAAAGUUCUUUGGAAUAGGACAUCAUAGAGGGUGAGAAUCCCGUAUUUGACCUUUACUUUCAACUUUGUGAUACACUUUCAAAGAGUCGGAUUGUUUGGGAAUGCAGUCCAAAAUGGGUGGUAAAUUUCAUCUAAAGCUAAAUAUUGGCGAGAGACCGAUAGCGAACAAGUACCGUGAGGGAAAGAUGAAAAGAACUUUGAAAAGAGAGUUAAACAGUACGUGAAAUUGUCAAAAGGGAAGCGUUUGACACCAGUGUUGUUUUUCUGAAAAUCAAUUAAAGAACUGUUUAUGCUAAGCUGUUUAGACUUUAUCAGCCUAUCUGUUUAGUUAUGAGCUUUUCUUUAAUGCACUUUUCAGUUAACAAGUCAACAUCAAUUUCUUUUGCUGUAAAAAAGCUUGAGGAAGGUGGCUUGAGAUUCGUCUUAAGUGUUUAUAGCCUCUUGCCUAUGCAGCCGGAGAGAUUGAGGUCUGCAGCGUAGAUCCUUCGGGGCUAAAUGCAUUUGUGCUAAGUUAUAGCAUUUCAUAGACAACUUGUUGACUAUGAUUUGUCUUGUAGCUUACUCGCUUAUGUUAUUUUACCUACGCUUAGGAUGUUGACGAGACUGUCGAUCUCAUCUAUACAUGACUCUGUGCUAUAUCAAUAAGCGGAGGAAAAGGUACCUACGCUUAGGAUGUUGACGAGACUGUCGAUCUCAUCUAUACAUGACUCUGUGCAUAUCAAUAAGCGGAGGAAAAGGCAUAACAUGUAUACCUACGCUUAGGAUGUUGACGAGACUGUCGAUCUCAUCUAUACAUGACUCUGCGCAUAUCAAUAAGCGGAGGAAAAGUCAAUACCUACGCUUAGGAUGUUGACGAGACUGUCGAUCUC